AGAGGCAAGAAGGAUGGCAUAUACAAGAUGGCGGCAGUGGAUAUUCAGUGGUGAAUUAUAUUCGAUAGUAUGACGUGGCGGCAUUUAGGGAAAAAAUUUCAGAGCUAUUACCAACUUCUCCCGCUUCAAAACUACUUCCGGCCUGAAUAUGCAGUUGGUUCCGUUUAUCACGUGUCUGUAUAUAACAACUUAAACCAUAUCACAACCAACUGACAAUCAACUAACACCACCUCCACAACCAACAACAACAACUACAAUAACAACAACA